UCUCUGUUAGUAUAUCGGUCAGUACACGCGCCUGUCAUUUGGCGUUGUUGUCAAUGCAUCGGUCGCGCGAAAGCGGGGUUCGACUCCCCGACAGAGAG